UACGUAGGGAGCAAGCGUUAUCCGGAUUUACUGGGUGUAAAGGGCGCGUAGGCGGGAUGGCAAGUCAGAUGUGAAAUCCAGGGGCUCAACCCCUGAACUGCAUUUGAAACUGUCGUUCUUGAGUACUGGAGAGGUUGACGGAAUUCCUAGUGUAGCGGUGGAAUGCGUAGAUAUUAGGAGGAACACCAGUGGCGAAGGCGGUCAACUGGACAGCAACUGACGCUGAGGCGCGAAAGCGUGGGGAGCAAACAGG
rnacentral:rRNA from 1 species